GGAAGGGUGGCAGAGUGGUCGAUUGCACCGGUCUUGAAAACCGGCAACGCCGAAAGGCGUUCCAGGGUUCGAAUCCCUGCCCUUCCG
rnacentral:tRNA from 3 species